UACAGAGGUCCCGAGCGUUGUUCGGAUUCAUUGGGCGUAAAGGGUGCGUAGGCGGCGGAGCAAGUCUGAUGUGAAAUCCCGGGGCUCAACCCCGGAACUGCAUUGGAUACUGCUUUGCUAGAGUACUGGAGAGGGAACUGGAAUUUACGGUGUAGCAGUGAAAUGCGUAGAGAUCGUAAGGAACACCAAUUGCGAAGGCAGCUCGCUGGGACGUUACUGACGCUGAGACGCGAAAGCGUGGGGAGCAAACAGG
rnacentral:rRNA from 1 species